AUUGAACGCUUGCUUCCGGCCUAACACAUGCAAGUCGAGCGGAUGAAGGGAGCUUGCUCCUGGAUUCAGCGGCGGACGGGUGAGUAAUGCCUAGGAAUCUGCCUGGUAGUGGGGGAUAACGUCCGGAAACGGGCGCUAAUACCGCAUACGUCCUGAGGGAGAAAGUGGGGGAUCUUCGGACCUCACGCUAUCAGAUGAGCCUAGGUCGGAUUAGCUAGUUGGUGGGGUAAAGGCCUACCAAGGCGACGAUCCGUAACUGGUCUGAGAGGAUGAUCAGUCACACUGGAACUGAGACACGGUCCAGACUCCUACGGGAGGCAGCAGUGGGGAAUAUUGGACAAUGGGCGAAAGCCUGAUCCAGCCAUGCCGCGUGUGUGAAGAAGGUCUUCGGAUUGUAAAGCACUUUAAGUUGGGAGGAAGGGCAGUAAGUUAAUACCUUGCUGUUUUGACGUUACCAACAGAAUAAGCACCGGCUAACUUCGUG
rnacentral:rRNA from 1 species